UUUAUUAUCUGCUCUCAGCAGAAGGCAUGUAUUGCUAUGAACUGAGUGCAACCUCUCUAGUUUCAAGAGGCACUUAGGCAGCUCCUGCUCUUUCUUUUGUACCUUGCAAAUAGCUCUUCACCAAGCUCCCCUGACAUUUUUUAGCUUUCUUUCACGUGGUUCAUUUGUUCACUUUCUAUGGGGUUGGCCUUUCUGCUGUAGUGUGAGAGGCAGCCAAUGAGAGUUAAGGAGGUCCUCAAGCACAUUCACGAGGUAAGCUGGCUUGGACUUCUGCUCCUGCUUCAACUGCAAACUGCUCUCUGCUCUACGACAUGGCUCUCCUUUUGGACAAAAAUAACUAAAAGAAAAUUGUUUUCAGCCCAGUUCCUUCUGUUCAGUUCUCUCUGUCAGAUUCACCUCUUCUUCUUCACAUUUCUUCCAUCUCAAAAAAUGUUUUAUCUACAGUGAGGACAGCUGGGAGGAGAUGUCUGCCUUUGAGACCUUGGCCAUCAGCCUUGAUUUUCCAUCUUGGUGUACUUAGAGAUGGGCAGGUAUCUCAGUGGACGUUGUUUGUGCUGACAGACCAGUCCCUCCAGACUAUUCAUACUCAAGUUUCUUCAAGGGAUUUGAAGACUUCAGGUUAUCAGCGCUGGCGACUCAUCUCACCUUGAACUAGAUGAAUGUCUGCCUAAGGAUAAGCAGGCACACUGUGCACCUGUGAGGCAUGGGGGUGAAAACAAUGCCUUGGGCAGCAAAGACUUGCUCUGCUUUCAUUGAUGCAGAUCUUUAGAGGAAUGUCUGAGGGCACAGAUCAGUCCUCAGGUCCUGUGGGAAGCUUGGCAGGCACUCUGCCCCACCUGCUACAAGUGCGAUCUGACCUGGCAAGUGGAAAAAUGCUUUCUGCAAGGGCACAGCAGAGAAAUACUGCCUAGAACUACCCGAGGCACUGGGAGCUGCAGCAUCAAGUGUGCACUGGACCUGAGCAAAACAGGCUCUGCGUAAAAUGAAAACCAGCCAAACUGACAAUUACCCUAAGGUACAGAAAUAGUGAUCAGGGGAAGGAAAAAAAAAAAGAAAAGAAAAAGAAAAAGAAACUGCAUGCGUUCAAAUCAGUAAGUUUCAUAGUCAAAAUUAUAUAUAGAAGUUGAGAUCUGUUUACAUUUUAACAAAAUCCUGUUUUCCUUAACUCCUGGCUAUAAUUAGAUGUUAUGUAUGAUGACAACAUUUCCCAUUGGGCUGGACUUUUUCCCUAGCCCACGCAGGGAAAUGGGUAAAUACCUGCUGGGCUACCCAGCCUGAGGUCCCAGACUUCAUAUCUUCAGCAGAAGAUCCCUGUUUUCACCUUGUGAUGGAUGUCUUCUGCAGGUGGAAAGGGCAGAGCUUGUGCACAAACAGCCCUGGCUGUGUUUUCUGUAGAUGGAGCCCAAGAGACUCAAAUUGGUCCAGCUUUCCUUCUGAUUGCUGAUCACUUCCACGUCACCUGCACAGAUAGAUGGAAUUUUCUUUUUGUUAAACCAUUGUUCUAGUUGCUGGGGUCACUUUAACAUAUGUUGAGAGUACAAAAUGACAACAUCAUAAGCUGAAAGGAAUCAGUUCCUUAAAUUGUUCAAGUGUUCCUUCAACGUCAUUUAGAAGGUGAUUUCCUUUCUGAAAAGUCUGGUCCAGUACACAACCAAAAGCUGAUGAAUUGCAAAUGUUCUCAAGAUCAAGAAUUCAGUAAGAAAACAGAAUAUACAAGCACUUCAAUAUUCAUCUUUCUGUCAGCG
ensembl:lncRNA